CCACACACGAUCCAAGAUCGACACUUUAUUGUGAACCGUAACGUGAUUUUACUGACCGCUGAGUCUAAGGGGUGAGGGACGCUUGCGUCUUAUUUGGCCCAUUCUCAUUGUGUUGGUAACUUUAUUAACACCCCCAAAACAAAAUGACCUAUGCAUUGGAACAUAAAAGUCAUGGCGAGUUCGUCUUGUCAUGGCGCUAGAUUGAAAAUUGUAAAGA
rnacentral:misc_RNA from 1 species